rnacentral:rRNA from 1 species
GAUGGAGGGGGAUAACUACUGGAAACGGUAGCUAAUACCGCAUAACGUCGCAAGACCAAAGAGGGGGACCUUAGGGCCUCUUGCCAUCGGAUGUGCCCAGAUGGGAUUAGCUAGUAGGUGGGGUAAUGGCUCACCUAGGCGACGAUCCCUAGCUGGUCUGAGAGGAUGACCAGCCACACUGGAACUGAGACACGGUCCAGACUCUGAU